rnacentral:rRNA from 1 species
GACGAACGCUGGCGGCGUGCUUAACACAUGCAAGUCGAACGCUGAAGGCUCAGCUUGCUGGGCUGGAUGAGUGGCGAACGGGUGAGUAACACGUGAGUAACCUGCCCUCUUCUUUGGGAUAACGGUCGGAAACGGCUGCUAAUACCGGGUAUUCACUGUCCUUCGCAUGGGGGGUGGUGGAAAGGUUUUUUCUGGUGGGGGAUGGGCUCGCGGCCUAUCAGCUUGUUGGUGGGGUGAUGGCUUACCAAGGCUUUGACGGGUAACCGGCCUGAGAGGGUGACCGGUCACAUUAGGACUGAGAUACGGCCCAGACUCCUACGGGAGGCAGCAGUGGGGAAUAUUGCACAAUGGGCGAAAGCCUGAUGCAGCGACGCCGCGUGAGGGAUGAAGGCCUUCGGGUUGUAAACCUCUUUCGCUCAUGGUCAAGCCGCAACUUUGGGUUGUGGUG